GACGAACGCUGGCGGCGUGCUUAACACAUGCAAGUCGAACGGAAAGGCCCUGCUUUUGUGGGGUGCUCGAGUGGCGAACGGGUGAGUAACACGUGAGUAACCUGCCCUUGACUUUGGGAUAACUUCAGGAAACUGGGGCUAAUACCGGAUAGGAGCUCCUGCUGCAUGGUGGGGGUUGGAAAGUUUCGGCGGUUGGGGAUGGACUCGCGGCUUAUCAGCUUGUUGGUGGGGUAGUGGCUUACCAAGGCUUUGACGGGUAGCCGGCCUGAGAGGGUUACCGGCCACAUUGGGACUGAGAUACGGGCCAGACUACUACGGGAGGCAGCAGUGGGGAAUAUUGCACAAUGGGCGGAAGCCUGAUGCAGCAACGCCGAGUGCGGGAUGACGGCCUUCGGGUGGUAAACCGCUUUCGCCUGUGACGAAGCGUGAGUGACGGUAAUGGGUAAAGAAGCACCGGAUAAAUACGUG
rnacentral:rRNA from 1 species